rnacentral:rRNA from 1 species
GGUUCAUUCAAAUUUCUGCCCUAUCAACUUUCGAUUGUAAGAUAGAGGCUUACAAUGGUCUUAACGGGUAACGGGGAAUUAGGGUUCUAUUCCGGAGAGGGAGCCUGAGAAACGGCUACCACAUCCAAGGAAGGCAGCAGGCGCGCAAAUUACCCAAUGCUAAUCAGCGAGGUAGUGACAAUAAAUACUGAUACGGGGCUCUUUCGGGUCUCGUAAUUGGAAUGAGAACAAUUUAAAUCCCUUAGCGAGUAUCAAUUGGAGGGCAAGUCUGGUGCCAGCAGCCGCGGUAAUUCCAGCUCCAAUAGCGUAUAUUAAAGUUGUUGCAGUUAAAAAGCUCGUAGUCG